AUGGAGGCACAGACCCAGGCCUUCAUAUUCCUGCUCCUUUGGAUGUCUGGUGCUGAGGGGAACAUUUUGAUGACCCAGUCUUCUGAAUACAUGUCCACAUCUGUAGGAGACAGAAUCAUCCAAAUCUGCAAGUCCAGUCAGAGUGUGGGCAGUUCUGCAGCUUCUGUAACUUCGUACCAACAGAAAUCAGGGCAGCCUCCUAAACUGCUAAUAUAUGGUGCAUCCAAUAGAUACACUGGGGUCCCUGAUCGCUUCAGAGGCAGUGGAUCUGGGACAGAUUUCACUCUCACCAUCAGCAGUGUGCAGGCUGAAGACCUGGCAGUAUAUUACUGUUAG